ACACAUGCAGUCGAGCGGCAGCGGAAGUAGCUUGCUACUUUGCCGGCGAGCGGCGGACGGGUGAGUAAUGUCUGGGGAUCUGCCUGAUGGAGGGGGAUAACUACUGGAAACGGUAGCUAAUACCGCAUGACCUCGAAAGAGCAAAGUGGGGGACCUUCGGGCCUCACGCCAUCGGAUGAACCCAGAUGGGAUUAGCUAGUAGGUGGGGUAAUGGCUCACCUAGGCGACGAUCCCUAGCUGGUCUGAGAGGAUGACCAGCCACACUGGAACUGAGACACGGUCCAGACUCCUACGGGAGGCAGCAGUGGGGAAUAUUGCACAAUGGGCGCAAGCCUGAUGCAGCCAUGCCGCGUGUGUGAAGAAGGCCUUCGGGUUGUAAAGCACUUUCAGCGAGGAGGAAGGCAUUGUGGUUAAUAACCGCAGUGAUUGACGUUACUCGCAGAAGAAGCGCCGGCUAACUCCGUGCCAGCAGCCGCGGUAAUACGGAGGGUGCAAGCGUUAAUCGGAAUUACUGGGCGUAAAGCGCACGCAGGCGGUUUGUUAAGUCAGAUGUGAAAUCCCCGCGCUUAACGUGGGAACUGCAUUUGAAACUGGCAAGCUAGAGUCUUGUAGAGGGGGGGUAGAAUUCCAGGUGUAGCGGUGAAAUGCGUAGAGAUCUGGAGGAAUACCGGGUGGCGAAGGCGGCCCCCUGGACAAAGACUGACGCUCAGUGCGAAAGCGUGGGGAGCAAACAGGAUUAGAUA
rnacentral:rRNA from 1 species